rnacentral:rRNA from 1 species
AGUGGACGCUGGCGGUAGGCCUAACACAUGCAAGUCGAACGGCAGCACAGUAAGAGCUUGCUCUUACGGGUGGCGAGUGGCGGACGGGUGAGGAAUACAUCGGAAUCUACUUUUUCGUGGGGGAUAACGUAGGGAAACUUACGCUAAUACCGCAUACGACCUACGGGUGAAAGCAGGGGAUCUUCGGACCUUGCGCGAUUGAAUGAGCCGAUGUCGGAUUAGCUAGUUGGCGGGGUAAAGGCCCACCAAGGCGACGAUCCGUAGCUGGUCUGAGAGGAUGAUCAGCCACACUGGAACUGAGACACGGUCCAGACUCCUACGGGAGGCAGCAGUGGGGAAUAUUGGACAAUGGGCGCAAGCCUGAUCCAGCCUUACCGCGUGGGUGAAGAAGGCCUUCGGGUUGUAAAGCCCUUUUGUUGGGAAAGAAAAGCAGCAGGUUAAUACCCCGCUGUUCUGACGGUACCCAAAGAAUAAGCACCGGCUAACUUCGUG